GGCGCGCCCAGGAAGGGAUCGUCAGGUUUGUCCUGAGAGGCUGCGGCGCUGCUGCCAGCCCUGUUCUGUUGAGAAUCUCUCCUACCCGCAUUCAAGUGCUCUCUCUAAAGACCUCGCUCACCCCGCCUGCUCCUGCGGGGUGACUGCCGCAGCGGGGCCGGAAGACAGUUUGGGGAAGAUGAUAACAGCUAAGCCAGGGAAAACACCGAUUCAGGUAUUACACGAAUACGGCAUGAAGACCAAGAACAUCCCAGUUUAUGAAUGUGAAAGAUCUGAUGUGCAAAUACACGUGCCCACUUUCACCUUCAGAGUAACCGUUGGUGACAUAACCUGCACAGGUGAAGGUACAAGUAAGAAGCUGGCGAAACAUAGAGCUGCAGAGGCUGCCAUAAACAUUUUGAAAGCCAAUGCAAGUAUUUGAUAAAAUGGGAAUUACUAAGCUGUAAUCAGGCCUAAAGUGG
rnacentral:sRNA from 1 species